CGAUUGGCGGACGGGUGAGUAAUGCUUGGGAACUUGCCUUUGCGAGGGGGAUAACAGUUGGAAACGACUGCUAAUACCGCAUAAUGUCUACGGACCAAACGGGGCUUCGGCUCCGGCGCAAAGAGAGGCCCAAGUGAGAUUAGCUAGUUGGUAAGGUAACGGCUUACCAAGGCGACGAUCUCUAGCUGUUCUGAGAGGAAGAUCAGCCACACUGGGACUGAGACACGGCCCAGACUCCUACGGGAGGCAGCAGUGGGGAAUAUUGCACAAUGGGGGAAACCCUGAUGCAGCCAUGCCGCGUGUGUGAAGAAGGCCUUCGGGUUGUAAAGCACUUUCAGUUGUGAGGAAAAGUUAGUAGUUAAUACCUGCUAGCCGUGACGUUAACAACAGAAGAAGCACCGGCUAACUCCGUGCCAGCAGCCGCGGUAAUACGGAGGGUGCGAGCGUUAAUCGGAAUUACUGGGCGUAAAGCGCACGCAGGCGGUUUGUUAAGCUAGAUGUGAAAGCCCCGGGCUCAACCUGGGAUGGUCAUUUAGAACUGGCAGACUAGAGUCUUGGAGAGGGGAGUGGAAUUCCAGGUGUAGCGGUGAAAUGCGUAGAUAUCUGNGAGGAACAUCAGUGGCGAAGGCGACUCCCUGGCCAAAGACUGACGCUCAUGUGCGAAAGUGUGGGUAGCGAACAGGAUUAGAUACCCUGGUAGUCCACACCGUAAACGCUGUCUACUAGCUGUGUGUGCCUUUAAGGCGUGCGUAGCGAAGCUAACGCGCUAAGUAGACCGCCUGGGGAGUACGGCNNCNGCAAGGUUAAAACUCAAAUGAAUUGACGGGGGCCCGCACAAG
rnacentral:rRNA from 1 species